UACGUAGGGGGCAAGCGUUGUCCGGAAUUAUUGGGCGUAAAGCGCGCGCAGGCGGCUAUUUAAGUCUGGUGUUUAAGCCCGGGGCUCAACCCCGGUACGCACUGGAAACUGGGUGGCUGGAGUGCAGGAGAGGGGAGUGGAAUUCCACGUGUAGCGGUGAAAUGCGUAGAGAUGUGGAGGAACACCAGUGGCGAAGGCGACUCUCUGGCCUGUAACUGACGCUGAGGCGCGAAAGCGUGGGGAGCAAACAGG
rnacentral:rRNA from 1 species